CCCAACUAUCCCUAUUAAUCAUUACGGUGGUCCUAGAAACCAACAAAAUAGAACCACAACGUCCUAUUCUAUUAUUCCAUGCUAAUCUAUUCAAGCAAAUGCCUGCUUUAAACACUCUAAUUUUUUCAAGGUAAUGGUCCUGGCUCCCCGGCACACCCAAUAAAGGACAUACUGGUUCACCAGAAGGUGGACCCGACACAGGACAGUACUCGCCAAAGACGGACCGCCCGGCCAGGCCUAAAAUUCAACUACGAGCUUUUUAACUGCAACAACUUUAAUAUACGCUAUUGGAGCUGGAAUUACCGCGGCUGCUGGCACCAGACUUGCCCUCCAA
rnacentral:misc_RNA from 2 species